AAUGGCUCAACCUGACAUAUGACGAAAGAGGAACUAUUGGGGUGGAGGUAGUUUAUAACCCUUACAGGAGGAAUCAGUGGUAGGAAAUAAAGACAUUAAUGUGUUGCUGAUCGUAUGGAAGGAAAGUACAGCAGGAAGUUGAAGUUCGUUCUGCUGUCUAUCAGGAGAGAGAAGCUGAGAUCCAGGUAAGGAGUUGGAUGCCUUGUGAGACCUCAAGUGGAGGACCCAGUGAAGUCGUGUCCAGACUCCUGACCAGCAGGACCUGAGACUAAUGUAUGCUGCUUAAGUCACUAACUUUGAGGUACUCUGCUGUGCCGCAACAGGUAACAACGCACCUGGGUACACUGAAGUCACUGUGCUGGAGAGAUCCCACAGAAAGGCCACAGAGAGCAAGAGACACAGCCCAAGGAGCCCUCGCUACCCCUGCCCCCGCCCUUUGAGUGUCAGCCAGCGUCAACCACCAGCUUCCAGACCUUGGCUACGAGUCCGGCGACUUCCCAGUGUGCCCACAUCCUGGAUGCUGUUCCCACUUUGAUCUACAGACCCCAUCUCAGAGCGCAGGCUGGAUGGAGACAGACCUACACAGGCAGCCUUCCCUCUUUUGUGCAUUUAUUGUAACAUGUUUACCUGUUUCAAUGUCUAGUUGCCCCAGCAGACCAUGAGCUCCUCUGGGUCAGCACCUUUGUAAUUCUGUGUCUAACUCAGGCUAUAGAGGCUUCAUUUGUUGAGUGAAUGUAUCUGUUAUUGUUGUGAUAUGAAAGUUAAAGACCUAUAUGAUAAGCCCUUUGCCCUGUAAGGACUUACCUAGUACUGAAAAAUAUGGCCCCAAUUAUAAAUGCUGUGAUUGGAAAGAAAAUAUUGGGUUGGCCAAAAAUCUUUUUUUUUCCAUAAGAUGGCCCUAAUAGUGCUUACUUGUCUUUAACUUCAUUCAAAAUGAUUUUGUUAGAUUGCAUUGGAACAGCUGUCAUAUUAAUGAGCAUAAAAAAUACUUAACCAAAAUCAUUGAAUUUCGGCAUAGCCAUUUUAAUAUUGAAGAUGGAAGAAAAUGUGCAACAUUUUUGGCAUUUUAUGCUUUAUUAUUUCAAGAUGCAACUGAAAUGCAAAAGAAGAUUUUUGUGGUGUAUGGGGGAAGUGCUGUGAGUGAUCAAAUGUGUCAAAAGUGGUUUGUGCAAUUUCAUGCUGGAGAUUUCUCGCUGGACAAUGCUCCACAGUCGGUAGACCAGUUGAAGUUGACAGCGAUCAAACUGAGAACAAUCAACAUUAUACCACACAGGAGAUACCCAACAUACUUAAAAUAUCCAAAUCCAUGAAGUUAUUGGUAAAAAUGAAAAACAUGUCUUUCAUUUGACGGACAAAGCUAAACAGACUUUUUGGCCAACCCACUAGUAUUGGCUUGGAAGACUUCAUAGAAGAGAAGAAACUUGAACUUGACAUCAAGAAGGAAUUUGUUGGAUUUGGCUGAGAGCAGAGGAGACAGAGAGGCAUUGGAAACUAGGAGAACAGCUCAACAAAAUUACACAGGGGCGCAGGGAGGAGACAACUGGCGUUUCAAGGACCUUAAAGAGGUUUUCCCGACAGAUCUUUCCUGGGGAGAAUCAGGAGGAACAGCCUGUUGCUCCUACUGUCUUUUCAUGGCCACUGGGUUUCACAAAGCACUUGCCUAUCUGCUUUCCCUGAUUCAAUAAUGUAGAUAGGCUGCACACUGAGUACCCAGAUUUAUUCAGUAGUCAAAAAAAUGUGAACCAUUGUGUGGGUUAUUUAUUACUCUACAUUGUUAGAGUGCCAUGAAUUCAUUCCAUAUCAGUCCAUACUGGGGGAAACUCCUAUUCACCAAUAAAUAGAUUAGUUUGACGUGUGAGGUAAGGUUUAUAAAUUGUAGAACUGGGACACUUAGAUUUCUUAAGUAUUGAGACUUGUGAAUAAAAUGUUGGAUACCACAACUAAAGGUUUCCCACACCUCUUGGGACUUAAACUUCACGUAAUCCUAGGUAUUAUAAUGUUAAUAAUUCUGACCUCACCAGAGCUGCUCUUGGUAUAAUGAGAAUAGCAAGUAUGUGUGUUAACUUGGAAAAAUCUGAGUUGCAUAGUUGUUAUGGCAACACAUUCUAAACAACUUAUGUCAGAGGUUUGCCAUGACAGAAAAAGGGAAACAAGUCCAUCAUUACGGAAUCGAGAUAUGUUAAGCUCAGUAACAAAGCAAAACACUUACACAGAAAGAAUGACCCAGCCUCAUGGUCUGGGGCAGGAAACCAUUCACCUGGGUAGGAGGAGCCCAGGAACUGAGUAGAAAGACCUGAGCCAGCUUACCCGAGACAGGGAGACGUGUACUUAUAUUAGGAUGGCAACGGCCAGUCAGGGUAAUCAGUCGCUCAGUCAAUUUCCCCAAAUUAAUCUUAAAAUCCCAACAGAGAUCAGUGUCCUGUCUGGAACCUGACAAGCAAACUCUAACAUUUACUUGAAAGAGCAAAGGGCCAAAAAAAAAAGGGGGAAAGAGACAAAUCUAGAGAACAAGAUGGAAUACUCUGCCCUAUCUGGUAAUGAAGACGUUUACAAGCCAAAGUGAUCAAUGGAGUGAUGUUGGCAGGCACAGGCAAACGGACCAAGGGGACAGAAUCAAAAGCACAGAAACUGACACAGAAGUGACAGAUGUGACGCGUCAAAGCAACGGGAAAAUAUUUUUUAAAUAAAUCAAUGGCACUGAAAUGUUUGGUUUAUUCAUCUAUAGGAGAUGGUAGGAGUAGCUACAAAAUGGGGAGAGAUGCCGUUUCCAGUUGAAAGAUGAACACAUAGAGGUUUAAUUCCAUUACCGAAAGUAAUUAAGUUCUGAGUGACUAAAUAUACAAAUGAACAACGGCCAAACCACAGAAGAAACAGUUGACCGAGAACCUACAGCAACCUGCCCAGGAAACCAAUCUCUUAUCUACAAUAAACAACCCAGAAAGCCAGGCUGCUAUGAGCCAGACUUGCAGGAAGCCAGACUGUUAUCUCCAGUAAUAAUCCAGGAUGCUACACAAUAAAUUCUGCCACAAGCAGCCCCAAAAGGCCAGGGCUUGAUUUAAUGACACACAGCUUACCUAAUGUCUGUCCCUACUUCCAACUCAAGAUCGACCAAAAGUAAGCCAAAUGCUUACCCAAUCACAUAAAACCCUCAGCCAGAUGCAUAGGAUGCCUGCUUCUAGUUGGCCUCCCUGCAGCUUCCCAGGCCAACAGCUCCCAAUCAGAGCACAUCAAAGCCUUCCCUUUUUCCACUAUAAAGCUUUCCGACUCCUCCGUCUGCCUUUGAGCUCCUGCCAAAAUGCAAGUGAUGGUGCUGACUCCCCUUCUGUAGCAAGCUCAGAAUA